UUGGCCGGCCGGGUAGUCGCUCUCUGGUAUAAGUAUAAUGUGUUCUUAAAGAUUUUUAGAGAGUUUUAUGUCAGGGAGAGGAAAGUCUGAACUCCACAGAGCGGAAUGCUGGGUAACACCCAGAAGGCGAAAGCCUAUGGAAAGUGCAACAGAAAAUAUACUGCCCCCCUGCUUUCUUGCCCUGAGAAAUUCGAAGAAUUUCCAGGACUGAGUCCCUGAAAUUGCAGCCGUAAUUUCUAGGGGCGAAAGCAAGAAGGGGGGUAAAGGUGAAAAGGUGAGGUAAGAGCUCACCGCUUCAGUGGUGACAUUGAAGGCAGUGCAAACCCCAUUCGGAGCAAGACCAAAUAGGGCACGGUAGGGCUGCUCGUCCUGUGCCGGGUUGGUCGCAAUGAGCAUGCGGGUAACCGGAUGCCAAGAUGAAUGACUAUCACCCCCCGGGGUUACAGAAUUCAGCUUACAGGCCGGCCAAUUUU
rnacentral:RNase_P_RNA from 1 species